CAAACACAAUCACGUUCUUAAAUGGAAAUGCGGGGCUUUAAACAAAUCUUACAUCUCUCCCGUUCCAUUCGCCUAAAACUCCGCAAUCAGGCGCAUGUUCCGCUCCUCUCUGAAACACGAGCCCGUUUUCUCUUCUUUUUUUAUUUUGGAGAGGAAAGGUUUAUUUUUCCCCGGCGCAACAGUCUCAUUUUAAUCAUUUACCUGAAAGCAGUGUUUUGUCUUUUUUUAUAUCUCAGCCGCGUGUCUGUUUGUUGUGAUCCUGCGCGCGCGCGACUAUUCUCUUUUUAUUCUGCAGGAUUGAACUCAGCCGUUCAUUUUUAAUCCGAGACUAAAAGACGUGCGUAAUAGGCGCUAAAUAUGCAGUUUCAGGAAGAAGAAGAAGAAGCGCCUAUGUUUGCCGAUAUUCUGAAGUAAAUCGUCACAUGCUUUUCAGAUCCUGCAGCACAGAGCUGCUCCCCAGCAUGAAGGCCGUGACCGGAAGCUGCUGGAGUGAGUCAGCGUCACUCACACACACACUGUCACACACUACUACGUGUUGGUGUGCAUGAGUGUAAAUGCCUGUGUAAUGUUUACUUCAUUUGUUCCAUUAAAGCAUUUUCACAGCAU